AUGCUCACUUUGGUAGCACAUAUACUAAAAUUGAAAUGAUAGUGAGAUUAGCAUGGCCCCUGAGCAAGGAUGACAUGCAAAUUCGUGAAGGAUUCCAUAACUUU
ensembl:snRNA U6 U6 spliceosomal RNA